rnacentral:rRNA from 1 species
GGAUUAGAUACCCUGGUAGUCCGCACAGUAAACGAUGAUAACUAGUUGUUUGCGAUAUACAGUAAGCGACCAAGCGAAAGCGAUAAGUUAUCCACCUGGGGAGUACGCCGGCAACGGUGAAACUCAAAGGAAUUGACGGGGGCCCGCACAAGCGGAGGAGCAUGUGGUUUAAUUCGAUGAUACGCGAGGAACCUUACCAGGGCUUGAAAGUUAAGGAAUGAUUAUGAAAGUAGUCAGUCAGCAAUGACCUAAAACUAGGUGCUGCAUGGCUGUCGUCAGCUCGUGCCG